AACUCAAAGGAAUUGACGGGGCCCGCACAAGCGGUGGAGUAUGUGGUUUAAUUCGAUGCAACGCGAAGAACCUUACCAAGGCUUGACAUGUUCUCGAUCGCCGUAGAGAUACGGUUUCCCCUUUGGGGCGGGGUUUCACAGGUGGUGCAUGGUUGUCGUCAGCUCGUGUCGUGAGAUGUUGGGUUAAGUCCCGCAACGAGCGCAACCCUCGUUCCAUGUUGCCAGCACGUCGUGGUGGGGACUCAUGGGAGACUGCCGGGGUCAACUCGGAGGAAGGUGAGGACGACGUCAAAUCAUCAUGCCCCUUAUGUCUUGGGCUUCACGCAUGCUACAAUGGCCGGUACAAUGGGUUGCGAUACUGUGAGGUGGAGCUAAUCCCAAAAAGCCGGUCUCAGUUCGGAUUGGGGUCUGCAACUCGACCCCAUGAAGUCGGAGUCGCUAGUAAUCGCAGAUCAGCAACGCUGCGGUGAAUACGUUCCCGGUCGACGCGGCCG
rnacentral:rRNA from 1 species